GCCCAGGUGGUGAAAUGGCAUACACGUCAGGUUUAGGACCUGAUGCCGCAAGGCGUGGAGGUUCGACUCCUCUCCUGGGCACCG
rnacentral:tRNA from 1 species